UGGAGACACAACCAACAGAGACGGCCGCCAGAGGCACACGGCUGUGCCAGCCUCCAGGAGCUACAGAACCCAGAAGAAAAGAUGCCAGGAGCUAGACAAAGGAGGACAACAAUUAUGUCAGGUAAAGCUGGACUGACAUAUUUAUCCUGGUGAAUUCAAAAUGAAACAUGAGCCAUAAAAAAGGAUACAAAGUAUUAUGGGUUUAUAAUGAAAGGAAGAAUUAACCUCAGCAUGUGGAAUCAAAGAAGACUGGCAAAAAGACAGCCGGAACUGAGGCUCCAAGCCCGGCAGUGUCCCCAGUCAGCCUUUCAGAUGAUGUCUGGAAUCACGGUUAACUCCAGUCCUGUGAGAGGCUCUCCCUUAAAGGACCCA